rnacentral:rRNA from 1 species
AGAGUUUGAUCCUGGCUCAGAAUCAACGCUGGCGGCGUGCCUAACACAUGCAAGUCGAACGCGACUUGGGCUUCGGCUCAAGUUGAGUGGCGAACGGGUGAGUAACACGUGGGUGACCUACCUUCGAGUGGGGGAUAACGUCCCGAAAGGGACGCUAAUACCGCAUAACAUCCUGCCUUUGAACAGGUGGAGAUCAAAGCCGGGGAUCGCAAGACCUGGCGCUUGAUGAGGGGCCCGCGCCUGAUUAGCUAGUUGGUGGGGUAAUGGCCUACCAAGGCGACGAUCAGUAUCCGGCCUGAGAGGGCGGACGGACACACUGGGACUGAGACACGGCCCAGACUCCUACGGGAGGCAGCAGUGGGGAAUUGUUCGCAAUGGGCGCAAGCCUGACGACGCAACGCCGCGUGGAGGAUGAAGGUCUUCGGAUUGUAAACUCCUGUUGCUCGGGACGAAAAGCUUCGACCUAACACGUCGAAGUCUGACGGUACCGAGUGAGGAAGCCCCGGCUAACUCUGUGCCAGCAGCCGCGGUAAUACAGAGGGGGCAAGCGUUGUUCGGAAUUACUGGGCGUAAAGGGCGCGUAGGCGGCCUGCUAAGUCGAACGUGAAAUCCCUGGGCUCAACCCAGGAACUGCGUCCGAUACUGGUUGGCUUGAAUCCGGGAGAGGGAUGUGGAAUUCCAGGUGUAGCGGUGAAAUGCGUAGAUAUCUGGAGGAAC